rnacentral:rRNA from 1 species
CCUACGGGAGGCAGCAGUGGGGAAUAUUGCGCAAUGGGCGAAAGCCUGACGCAGCGACGCCGCGUGAGGGAUGAAGGUCUUCGGAUCGUAAACCUCUGUCAGCAGGGAAGAAAGGUCACUGUGCUAAUCAGCAGUGAAUUGACGGUACCUGCAAAGGAAGCACCGGCUAACGCCGGGCGAUCAGCCGCGGUAAUACGGAGGGUGCGAGGGUUAAUCGGAAUUACGGGGCGUAAAGCGCUCGUAGGGGGGAUGUCAAGUCAAGGGUGAACUCCCGGGGGUAAACGGGGGAACUGCCUUGGAACCUGGCAAACUGGGGUGUGUGAGAGGAUAGUGGAAUUCCGGGUGUAGGAGUGAAAUCCGUAGAUAUCUGGAGGAACAUCAGGGGCGAAGGCGACUAUCUGGCACAUAACUGACGCUGAGGAGCGAAAGCGUGGGUAGCAAACAGGAUUAGAUACCCCUGUAGU